rnacentral:tRNA from 1 species
GCGGAUGUAGCUCAACAGUGGAGUGAUUGCUUAGCAUGCAUGAGGAGCUGGGUUCAAUCCCCAGCAUACCCA